CCACAACAGCCUUCGAUCGUCCCGGUUCCACA
rnacentral:ribozyme from 1 species